CGGGGUCUCGGCAGCGGGGCGGACUUGGUGCCUCCUUGGGGACAGUGGAGGCCGGGGAAGGAAAGAGAAGCUUUACUAUCUCACCAUUAACUCCCUCCCCAUGCCUGCCUUCUAAAUGUAUGUCGAGUCAAUGCACAAGAGCCACUGAACCCCCACGUGGGCCUUCUGGCCUGUCCCUUCCUAUAUUUGGGUCUCAAUUUGGGGGGGGGUAAUAAAAGUGGAGAGGACGGGGUUGGAGCGGAAAUACUAGCCUUGUUUGAUUUCCAAACUUUUUAAAACUCCCUUGCAAAACAGCCAAGAAUAUAUCUGACACAUUAGUUUCAAGAUAUUAGAUCCUUCCUGUGGAUGGAUGGUGCAUUCUAAUAAACUCUGUUGUAUUUGAUUGUAAUAAAAUGCUCUUGGGGGACGCCUGGGUGGCUCCCUCAGUUAGGCGUCUGCUUUCGACUCAGGUCAUGAUCCAGGGUCCUGGGGUCAAGUCCCACAUCGGGCUCCUUGCUCAGCAGGAAGCCUGCUUCUUUCUCUGUCUGCUGCUCCCCCUGCUUGUGCUCUCUGACAAAUAAAUAACAUCUUUUUUAAAAAAUUUAAAAAUAAAAUGCUCUUGGUUUCAAAACCCACUAACGGGUCAGAAGCCUCAGUUUACAAAAGUGGCCCAAGGUUCCGGUGUGCAUGAUUCUUGUGGAAGGGAAGCAGAGGCAGAAUGUCCUCGGGGAAAAGGCCUUACGGGGUGGACCGCUGAGCCAGCUUCCUCAUCUGUGCAGCAGCUAGGGCAAGUGGAGAAAGGGCUGUGGGUCUGAAGUCUGAAACUUGGAUUAUGUUGUGUCAAAUUCUCCUACAUUUGAACUCUAAGACGGCCUCAGGCAAGUUGUGAACUUAUCUGGGCCUGUCUCCCUCAUCCAAACACAAUGCCUCGCUUUGUGGAUCCAGUCUGGCUGCAGACUGUUUGAAGGGGCUCUGGCGACUCAUUCAGAUAAGGCUCUGGAAGGGGCUGAUGGAAAAAAGAGGGAGGGAAGGUGAGCUUGGCCCAGGGGAAGGGCGUGGCCAGAGUGGAAGGUAGGUGGGGCAAGGUCGGAGUUGAGCUGGGUGGCAGGCCAGAGGUGGGCCUGGCUGAGGACCCCAGGCUUUGGGAGGAGAGAUGGGGGGAGGCCUGGCGGGAUGGGAUGGAAGGUGCCCGGGAUGGGAAAGACGAGGAGUUCGCACUCUGGCUUCUGCCCUCACAGGCUCCGUGGAGGCCCUUCAUGAGGUUCUGCAGCUCCCUGAGGCCCUGCGUUCCUGCCCGGCCCUGCGCAGGGCCCUGGCUGUGGACUCCGCCUUUCGCGAAGGCAACGCCGCCCGCCUGUUCCGCCUGCUCCGGAUUCUGCCCUACCUGCAGAGCUGCGCGGUCCGGUGCCACAUAGGCCGUGCCCGCCGGGGAGCCCUGGCCCGCCUCGCUCGUGCCCUGAGCACCCCCAAAGGCCAGACCUUGCCUCUGGGCUUCAUGGUCCGCCUGCUGGCCCUGGAUGGGCCCGAAGAGGCGCGGGACCUGUGCCAGGCCCACGGACUGCCCUUGGAUGGACAGGAAAGAGUUGUGUUUCUCAGGGGUCGUUACACUGAGGAAGGGCUGCCGCCUGCUGGGACCUGCAAAGUGUUGGUGGGGAGCAAACUUGCAGGGCGCACCCUGGAGGAGGUGGUCAUGGCAGAGGAAGAAGAUGAGGGUGUGGACAGAUCGAAGUCCCCAGCAUGAGGAGGAGCCCUGCCCUCUCCCAGAGCCCAGGACUGGAUCUAAGCACUCAGGUGGGUGCCCACUGCCCAGCCUCACCCCGCUGCACUUGCCGGGAGCUUCGGAACAGACUCACCUGUAGUAACGUUCCUCGGGGAAGGCUCGCGGGUUUAGGAAGGUCCGCUCCAAGAGCAUCAGCUGGUCGUUGAGCAUCCGGACCUGCAAGGGGCUGGAAGCGGCAGGACCUUCGUCACCCCGGAACCAGCAGCCCGGCUGCCAGCCUGCAUCCUGCCCCGGAUGCCGCCCUCCCAGACACCUGCUUGCUGCCCUUGCUCACUCAGGGCUGCCCUUCUGCAGCGCGGAUAUGUGUUGGUCCAAGGCCGCGGCUGCCCCCUCAAACUUCUCCACUGCAGUCACCAGGGGCCCUGUGGGGAACAGCCAGCGUUUCAGCCCUGGAGGAGCAGGGCUCCCCGCA